GAUGAACGCUGGCGGCGUGCCUAAUACAUGCAAGUCGAGCGAACAGACGAGGAGCUUGCUCCUUCGACGUUAGCGGCGGACGGGUGAGUAACACGUAGGUAACCUACCUAUAAGACUGGGAUAACUUCGGGAAACCGGAGCUAAUACCGGAUAAUAUUUCGAACCGCAUGGUUCGAUAGUGAAAGAUGGCUUUGCUAUCACUUAUAGAUGGACCUGCGCCGUAUUAGCUAGUUGGUAAGGUAACGGCUUACCAAGGCAACGAUACGUAGCCGACCUGAGAGGGUGAUCGGCGACACUGGAACUGAGACACGGUCCAGACUCCUACGGGAGGCAGCAGUAGGGAAUCUUCCGCAAUGGGCGAAAGCCUGACGGAGCAACGCCGCGUGAGUGAUGAAGGUCUUCGGAUCGUAAAACUCUGUUAUUAGGGAAGAACAAACGUGUAAGUAACUGUGCACGUCUUGACGGUACCUAAUCAGAAAGCCACGGCUAACUACGUG
rnacentral:rRNA from 1 species